rnacentral:rRNA from 1 species
UACGGAGGGGGCGAGCGUUGUCCGCAGUUACUGGGCGUAAAGGGCGCGUAGGCGGGAAGCUAAGUCCGCUGUCAAAGCCCGGGGCUUAACCCCGGAAGGUCGGUGGAGACUGGUUUUCUUGAAGCUGCCAGGGGGAGAUGGAAUUACCGGUGUAGCGGUGAAAUGCGUAGAUAUCGGUAGGAACACCAGUGGCGAAGGCGGCUACCUGGACCAGCACUGACACUGAAGCACGAAAGCGUGGGGAGCAAACAGG